AGCGAACGCUGGCGGCAGGCCUAACACAUGCAAGUCGAACGAACCUUUCGGGGUUAGUGGCGGACGGGUGAGUAACACGUGGGAACUUGCCUUUAGGUUCGGAAUAACUCAGGGAAACUUUUGCUAAUACCUAAUGUGCCCUUCGGGGGAAAGAUUUAUCGCCUUUAGAGCGGCCCGCGUCUGAUUAGCUAGUUGGUUGAGGUAAUGGCUCACCAAGGCGACGAUCAGUAGCUGGUCUGAGAGGAUGAUCAGCCACAUUGGGACUGAGACACGGCCCAAACUCCUACGGGAGGCAGCAGUGGGGAAUCUUGCGCAAUGGGCGAAAGCCUGACGCAGCCAUGCCGCGUGAAUGAUGAAGGUAUUAGGAUUGUAAAAUUCUUUCACCGGGGACGAUAAUGACGGUACCCGGAGAAGAAGCCCCGGCUAACUUCGUG
rnacentral:rRNA from 1 species